UCACCAACUGAACGGGACUGAAAAUUUUUAAUUGCGAUUCACCACCUCGCCUGACUGUCAAUCUUCUUUUUCUCUCGGUAACACUCCUGUCGAACUGGCACACGGCGGCGGCAGCACGCCCACGCUGCGCACCCUUUCCUCAACAAUGAACACAAAGUGGGACUUCAAGCCCUGUUGACAAAACAUUCUCCAGAGGAAAAACAUUUAUUUAUGCGUAAAAAAAAAAAGAAGCCUGGACAAAGCCACAUUCAUCCCCCCUCACGAGGACACGCACAAAAACUUGAAUACUCCUCAUAUUCCUGAGGACGCGCAGAAAUCCUCAUUUUACCCCUUAUAUCUAAGGAAAGCUCCAGGGACUGCCUCUCUGGACGCAGUGAAGUCAAAGAGAAGAAAGGGAGCGCUCUCUCACACUAGGAGGGAAGAGAAAAAAGCAGCCACCCCCUAAAAGAAUUAUGCAUGGAGCAACAAAGGUGAGCUUGAGAUGGAGUAUGAGGAAGUGCAUGGGAAUGGUUGUGGGUGUCGGUGAGAAGAGGACAGCGGUGGCGGCGGCGGCGGCAGGAGGAGGAGGAGGGGGGGUCCUCCUUGGAAGACCGAGCGGGUAGUUUUAAGUGCAAAGCGCCAUAAAGCAGCUCCGUCCUCGCCUUGAACCUCGGCAGAUAAAAGCCGACCUGUCAGCGUGUGAGGAGGUGAAAAAAGCAGCGGGGGCUUUCGGCUGUUAAUGUAUGAGAGCGCCGUCUUCGCCUCUGUCCCCGGCCUUGUCUCUGUCACAGCCUCACUGAUAUACUGACAGCAGGUGUUAACCUCCCUUGGGAUAGUAGGCCACAUAGUGCCAGCCUAUAUGGACAUAUGAUAAUCCCCCAGAGGUUUGUGGGGGACGAGUGGAGCAGCAACAGCAGGCCCCUGUGCAGUUUCUCCGCCAGAGAAGUUGACGGAACCGAUCGGCUUCGAUGAUCUUCAUGCACAAAGGUCAGCGGAUGUUUCUUGCAUCGGGCAGCUCAUCUGGUCUGAGUCUUUCUAGGCAGGUGCUCAGCCUGCGUUUUCUGAAUGCUCAACAGCGGAAAUGACAUUGGGCGAGUCAAGGACGGGCGCUCGGUGUGAGAGUAUCCCCUCGUAUGGCCCUCGCCGGGCGUAUUUCCUCUGUGGUGGUGCACAACGACCGGUUCUAUGCCGGCUUGGGAAGGAUUUACAGCACCACCCGCUUGGACCUCGCCACUUAGUGCUCGCUGUGCCCUCUCUCCCUGCGGGGAGGGACGGAGCUAACUGCUCCCGGCCCG